AGUUUGUAUCCUUUGACAGAUACGCGUAUUUCGACCUCAACUGUAAGGCCAGUCGAGUCGAUACUGAAGACGGCCUUACAGUUGAGGUCGAAAUAUGCGUAUCUGUCAAAGGAUGCACACUC
rnacentral:pre_miRNA from 1 species